rnacentral:rRNA from 1 species
CACUUCUAAGGAAGGCAGCAGGCGCGCAAAUUACCCAAUCCUGACUCAGGGAGGUAGUGACAAGAAAUAACAAUAAACCGGCUUAUGCCGGUUUAAUUGGAAUGAGUACAAUUUAAACAUCUUAACGAGGAACAAUUGGAGGGCAAGUCUGGUGCCAGCAGCCGCGGUAAUUCCAGCUCCAAUAGCGUAUACUAAAGUUGUUGCAGUUAAAAAGCUCGUAGUUGGAUUUCUGUGGGGACGGAGCGGCCGGCCGCAACACGCGGUUCGAGCUAGCGCUUUCCCUACAUCCUGCCGCGAACCGUGCUACCAUUAGUUUGGUGGCGCCGGGGAUCGGCUCGAUUACUUUGAGAAAAAUAGAGUGUUCAAAGCAGGCCACACGCCUUGAAUAAGUUAGCAUGGAAUAAUAACUAAGGACUUCGGUUCUAUUUUGUUGGUGUUCGGGACUGAAGUAAUGAUUGAUAGGGACAGUUGGGGCGGUCUGUAUUCCAAAGCGAGAGGUGAAAUUCUUAGACCUUCGGAAGACAAACAGCUGCGAAAGCGUUCCGCAAGGAUGUUCCCUUUGAUCAAGAACGAAAGUUGGGGGAUCGAAGACGAUCAGAUACCGUCGUAGUCUCAACUAUAAACUAUACCAGCUAGGGAUCGGCCAACGUUAUUCUAUACCGACUUGGUCGGCACCUUAUGAGAAAUCAAAGCAUCUGGGUUCCGGGGGGAGUAUGGUCGCAAGGCUGAAACUUAAAGGAAUUGACGGAAGGGCACCACCAGCCGUGGAGCCUGUGGCUUAAUUUGACUCAACACGGGAAAACUUACCAGGUCCAGACAUAGUAAGGAUUGACAGAUUGAUAGCUCUUUCUUGAUUCUGUGGGUGGUGGUGCAUGGCCGUUCUUAGUUGGUGGAGUGAUUUGUCUGGUUAAUUCCGUUAACGAACGAGACCCCAGCCUGCUAAAUAGCGCGCGUGAGCUUUGCUCGCGGCGAGCUUCUUAGAGGGACUAUGAUGCGCGAUAGCACAUGGAAGUUUGGGGCAAUAACAGGUCUGUGAUGCCCUUAGAUGUUCUGGGCCGCACACGGGCUACACUGGCGCCUGCAACGAGCAUAUCAGCUGGCCCGAGAAGGUCUUGGCUAAUCUUUUGAACCGGCGCCGUGCUUGGGAUUGACCUUUGCAAUUGUUGGUCAUGCAACGAGGAAUGCC